rnacentral:rRNA from 1 species
UACGGAGGGUGCGAGCGUUGUCCGGAAUCACUGGGCGUAAAGGGCGCGUAGGCGGCCUGAUAAGUAGGGGGUGAAAUCCUGCGGCUUAACCGCAGGGCUGCCUUCUAAACUGUCGGGCUCGAGCACAGUAGAGGCAGGUGGAAUUCCCGGUGUAGCGGUGGAAUGCGUAGAGAUCGGGAAGAACAUCAGUGGCGAAGGCGGCCUGCUGGGCUGUUGCUGACGCUGAGGCGCGACAGCGUGGGGAGCGAACAGG